rnacentral:rRNA from 1 species
ACGCACGCUGGCGGCGUGCUUAACACAUGCAAGUCGAACGGAAAGGCCCUGCUUUUGUGGGGUGCUCGAGUGGCGAACGGGUGAGUAACACGUGAGUAACCUGCCCUUGACUUUGGGAUAACUUCAGGAAACUGGGGCUAAUACCGGAUAGGAGCUCCUGCUGCAUGGUGGGGGUUGGAAAGUUUCGGCGGUUGGGGAUGGACUCGCGGCUUAUCAGCUUGUUGGUGGGGUAGUGGCUUACCAAGGCUUUGACGGGUAGCCGGCCUGAGAGGGUGACCGGCCACAUUGGGACUGAGAUACGGCCCAGACUCCUACGGGAGGCAGCAGUAGGGAAUAUUGCACAAUGGGCGGAAGCCUGAUGCAGCAACGCCGCGUGCGGGAUGACGGCCUUCGGGUUGUAAACCGCUUUCGCCUGUGACGAAGCGUGAGUGACGGUAAUGGGUAAAGAAGCACCGGCUAACUACGUG